GUCGUUUCUCAUAUUCUUGUUGUGAAAAGUUUUUAAAACUUGUUUAGACAUCUAUUGUAAUGUUUUGGGUUUUUUUUUGAGUUUUUUGAUAUAUUUUUCUUGUUUUGUAGAGUUAACUAUAUUUUUAAAGCUUCUAGAGAUAUUUCCACGAGCUCUAAAUAUUUUAUUUUAGUUUUUCAUGUCCCCAUCUAUCUUUAUAUUUUCUCUGGAUUUUAGAAACUUGGAGGUAUUUUUGAUGGUCUAAAAAUCUCAUCAAGUUUUUAUCAACUUGUAAUUAGUGCAUUAUAAUACUCAAAUUUGGUUACUACGUUGGUUAAAUACUUAAAUCUGGUGCAGUAUAAUACUCAAAUUCGGUUACUAUGCUUAGGCACAAUAACUUGACAUAUGAUGCAUGUUUUUCAUGAGAUAAAUAUCUUUCUAGAUUUAUAUUUGUCAUAACUAAGCAUUGUGAGUUAGCAACACAAUAUAAGAUUUAUCUAUGUUUUUAACAACAUAUUUUCUAUGGCAUGAGUGCCUGAAUUCAAUAGCUUCUACAAUGACAUGGUUCGAGUUGGGGUUAUUGGAGAGGAAUUGUGCCCUCGACCUUAGAAAAGGGCUUGGGGAAGUGGGUCGAACAGACGGAGGAGGUGUUGACGGUAGAUAAGUAUCCUUUUUUGACUGUCAACAUAACAUGAGAAGGGACUAAAACAUGUUUACCAUCUAGAUAUAGGGGUUACACUGAUAGAAUUCUAUGAGUUUUUGUGAUUGUCUAUUUCUACAGAGGGUUAUCAGAAAUAGAACCAAAGGAGACCCACAUGUCAGAUUUACAUAGAGAGAAACAAACAUACGUAUAAAAAAAAUAAUCUAGA
rnacentral:lncRNA from 1 species